ACCUACGGGAGGCAGCAGUGGGGAAUAUUGCACAAUGGGGGAAACCCUGAUGCAGCGACGCCGCGUGAAGGAAGAAGUAUUUCGGUAUGUAAACUUCUAUCAGCAGGGAAGAAAAUGACGGUACCUGACUAAGAAGCCCCGGCUAACUACGUGCCAGCAGCCGCGGUAAUACGUAGGGGGCAAGCGUUAUCCGGAUUUACUGGGUGUAAAGGGUGCGCAGGCGGUCCUGCAAGUCUGGAGUGAAACGCAUGAGCUCAACUCAUGCAUGGCUUUGGAAACUGGAGGACUGGAGAGCAGGAGAGGGC
rnacentral:rRNA from 1 species